GUGUUUUGAGGAACUAGUAUGUGUUAGAAGAAAAAUAGACUCUGUGGUCAAAGAACUGCAAACAGUUGGUCUGAGUCAACUUUAAGAGGGUCAGAGUCUUUAACGUGUUAAUUUGCUUCACUGGUUUCCAAGAGACAAAGUUAACAUAUAAGAUACCCCAAAUAUAUUUGACCACAUCUAGCUGGUUUUAUUUUUUUAAAUAGAGCCUUUUAGGGGAAUAGUAUUCUGUGUAAGAUACUUUAAAAAUUGUUGGCUUGACCUAAAGAAGUGGUGGGAAUUUCUGAAGCCCUUAAUAGUAUCACCUUGGGCAACCCUUUUCGGGAAAACUUCAUAAAGUAGACGUUGUCCUGGAAUGUGUGAGUGCUCCUGGCUGAGAAUGGGGUUGGAAGAACAGAAACAAGAAGUACCCGGAGCCAAGAAGAAAGUCUGAAUCCAGGAGGUCCCGAGCACAUAUGUGCACAUAUGCAAUCACCAGAUAAAGCAGGCAAGGGUUUCUUUUUUCCUGUGGAAGCAUCGCAAAAAAGUUCAACUUCUCAGGUGUCCUUUAAUGGUUGGUGCUCCUGCCCAUAUCACACCAGGUUACAGGAAUUUUAGGAUUUUUGGAACGGCCUUUUCUACCUCCCUCAGGAUGAUUCCAGCAUGCUACAGAAGAGCCUGAGAACUAAGGUCCCGAAUCUGUUAAAAUCUGACUACCAAGGAAAACACAUUGGUUGAAAGGGUCAUCUGCUAAUUAUUGUUAAGAAACACACAGAAGAUAAUAACAGGAAACUAUUCAGAAGAAUGAAGAUGGAACAGAGAUUUAAGGUGCUUUUCCAGGUUCUUAUGGUCAUGUUGCCUGGUUUAUAGUUCUUAUGGUCAUGACUAGGUUUUCUUUUUCUUUUAAAUUUCCUUUCCUUUCCCAUUUCCCCCCGCUUCAUUCCCUCCCUCCCUCUCUUUCUCUCUCUCUUUCUCUGGCAUGCAGAUUCCUGCUGCUCUUUAUUUAGAGUGUGUGCAGCACCUCAUUAUAGUUCCCUUUCCUCGGCCACUGCUUUCUUUCUUUAUAUCUUUCUCACAGCCUUUCCCAUAGAGGAUACUGCAAUAGAGAAGAAACAUCCACUUACAUAUUUCCUUGUCUCAAGGAGUUAAUUUUUAUAUCCGAAACCUCUAGGUUGACCUCAGACCUAUUAUUCUCUUCUUCGUCCAACCCUGUUAUUUAUUUAUCUAUUUAUUAGCACCCAAGCUAUUUCAAAGAUAAAUAAAACACGGUCCUUAUUAUUAUUAUCAAAUAAUAACUUGUCUUCUAUUUGGAUAAAGUUCUAGGUUCAAAAUACUGCAAUAUUUUGUUAUAAGUUCCAAAAGGAAGAUGUGUUAGGUAGACUUUGUGCAAAGGCAAUUCCAUGGAGAUAUGAUAGUUAAAAAACAAAAGCAAAAACCAAUAGUGCUGAAACAAUUAGAUCCUGACAAACAAAAAAUGAUUCUGAGCCCUGAUUUGUACCACAUAUAAAGGUUAAUUCAAAAUACAUCAUAUAUCUAUAUGUAAGAUGUAAAACUAAAAAAUUUACAACAGAUAAAUACAAUAACCUCAUUAGUUAUUAGGGAAAUGCAAAUUAAAACCAUAAUGAAACAUCACACCCACUAGAAUGACUGUGGUCAAAAAGAUAAGAAAAAGUUUUGGCAAACGUGGAGAAUUCAGACCUUUCAAACGUUACUGGUUGGAAUGUACAAUGGCACAGCUACUUGCAAAACAGUUUGGCUGUUUCUUGAAAAGUUAAGCAAAACAUAUACUUACCAUAUGAUCCAGCCAUUCCACUCUUAGAUAUUUACCCAAGAGAAAUGAAAGCAUGUGUCUACACAAAGACUUGCAUGUAAAAGUUCAGAGCAGUUUUAUUUUAAGAGCUCUGAACUGGAAACAACCCAGAAUCCAUCAAAUCCUAGUCUGCUUGUGAGGAAAGACGCAGUCUCUCCAGCUCACAUUUUCCUUCUUGAUACUGAAGACAGGCACACUGACCAUUUGUGUUUUAAAAUUUUUUGUUGUUAAUCAUUAUGUAGAACUUUCAAAGGAUAACAAACACAAAAAUCACAAGACUGGAAGCAAGGUUACCAACCCUGAAAAAUGUAUUUGUGCUGGUUUUAUUCUACUCUUGUACUAGCUGGUACAAGAGAUCUGGAUAGUAACCAAUUUUGCUCACCUACGUUUAUUCCUGAGGAUGAGGCUUACCAAAUCUCCUUCCGAGUGUUCUCUCCUACCCUUUUAAAAACAAAGCUUGCUUUCCUAAAGAUUCAAAGAGAUUAAAUGAAGGCAUGUUGCACCUUUCAUCUUGUCUCAUGUAGCCUAAUUAGACCACUAAGCAUCUUUCAGCUGGAUGACACCCAGCCUAGGAUAUUUUUUCAAAACCUCAAACACAAAUAAACACUCAGUUUCUACUUUUCUGAACUGCUUAUUUGUUUUUCGCAUUAUUAAGACAGUAGGUACAAUAGAAAUUAGAAAAACAAGCACAAAGAAGAAAAAGAAACCCGUCUAUAUAUUACAAGGCAGAUUAAUAGUUUGGUACAUUUAUAUACAUAGCUUACAGUUGUAAUUGGAAUAAAACUGUAAGUAUAACUUUAUAAGGCUUGUUCAACUUAUAUAUUAAGUAUUCUGCAAUAUGACUAAAUAAUUUGGAACAUAUAACUAUAGUGGCUACAGAGUAUUCCAUUGUGUGGAUUUAUUAUAAAUUUAACUACCUCUCAUUAUUGGAAGUUAAAUUUGUUCUAAUUAUUCAGUCUUACAAAGAACACCUCAGUGAAAAUCUUUUUACACUUUUGUCCCCAUUUCUGAUUAUUAAUUUUAGUUAAGUACCUAGAAAUGGAAUUUCUUAAUCAAAUAGUCAAAUAGAAUUUUUUUUUUUUUUUUUAAAGAACAUGUAAUAAAAUCACUGACCAGAAAGGUUACAUCAAUUUAAGAGAGUUUCUGACACAAAUCCUGGCUGGCUUCCUUCUGUGGCUUUAUCAGGUUUCCAGAUCUGAAUUUAACAAACACUCCAGACCAGGAUGUAAGCAAGACAAUCCAUUGGGUAAAGGAAAUAACACAUUGCCAAGAACUUCUAUUCCCACAUCUUAAAGGUCUCAUUCUUUUUAGUGCUUUUUAAAAAAAUAGUUGCAGAAACAGUGUCAAACAUUUUUGUAUACUUUCUACCCAGCUUCUCCAAAUGUUAACACAUUACAUAACUAUUAGUACAGGUAACCAGACCAGGAAAUUAACAUUGAUACAAUACUAUGAAUUCAUCUAAAUACCAUAUUCAAAUGUUGCACAUCGUCCCACUGGUGUCCUUUCUCUGGUCCAAGAUCCAAUCCAGGAUCUCACAUUGCAUUUAGCCAUCAUGACUCCCUCUUUGUCUCCACUCUGGGAAAGAUUGCGGCUCUGUCUUUAUCUUUCAAGAACUUGACAUUUUUCAAUCAUACUGGCCAGGUAUUUUGCAGACUGUUCCCUACUUUGAGUUUGUGUGAUGUUUACUUUUGAUUAAAUUUAGGGGAUACAUUUUUAGCAGGAGCACUGCAGAAGUGAUAUUGCCUCUUUCUUGGUGCAUCUUAUCAAAAAGCAUGUGAUAUUGAUAUAUAUGGCCCAUUCAUGUUCAUGUUAAUGUUGAGCAUUUGUUUAAGGUGCUGUCUGUCUGGUUUCUCCAUCUCCAUCAUAAACUUUUUGUUUUAUACUUUGUAAUUGAUACAUACCUUGUGAGGAGAUAUGUUGGAAUUUCAUCCUUUAAUAUAUUUUUUUGUAUCUUUUAUAAUGUAUAUACUUUACCAGUGCAAUACUGUCGGUAUAUAACUUAUAAACAACUGAUCAAUGCACAUAUGGAGGGUAAAUGCUCUAAUAAUUUUUGAUAAGUUUACCUAGGCAAAAACAUUUUGGAAACAACUGUUCUUGACCAAUUUAUGUUCCUUCCUUACCCUUUAAACAUGACACCCCAUUCCUUCUUACAAGAAACCUUCUACAGUAGCUGACUCUACCCUGUUAUAUUUUUUUCCUUAUCUACAUUUUAUACUGUGCCAAAUCUGUAGAUGUUUGCAACAGUUUGCUAGUUUUUAAAGCACUCUUCAUUUUUUUCUCACACUUCAGUGUCAUGCAGCCUAUCUAGAUUCUAAGCUGGUCAAAGACAGGGAUCAUAUAUAUUAUAUUUGUUACUAGGCUAAGUCCUCUGAGGGUAGUAUCUGUGCUUGGUUUAUUUCUGUACCUUCCAUAAUAUGAACAUAAUGCCUUGCACAUAAAAGCCUCUCAAUUAGCCUUUGUUUAUUGACUGCAUGAGAGGAUAAACAUCUGGUACAAUGUUUGCAUAGUGAGGAAACACAAUUACUUUGGUUCAAUGACUGUGGCAGACACUCUUGGGUGGCUAACCAAGCCACUAUUUCCAACUUCUUUCUUGCCAACUUCCAGUUAGUGUUGGGCCCAUGACAUAGUUUUAGCUAAUGAAAGAGAAGAGGAAAUCUGAUGUGUAGUUCUGGGAACAGCUUUUAUUUUCCUCAUAAAUGUACUGUUGCUUCUUCCUGCUCCUGGCUUAAAAUGUAGAGGUAGUGAUUGGGCUGCAGCUUCCUUAGGACCAUGAAGGAGAGAGCAAGAGAAAAGCAGAGACUUUGUUCUUUUUGUCUUUACACUGAAGAAGCAAAACCAAGAACAAGCUACUUUUGAACAUCUUCUGUGUGAAAAAAUAAAUCCAUAUUGGUGUAAGGCAUUAAUUAUAUGUGGAUUUCUGCCUUCCUGUUUAGCUAAAGUAUUUCUGACUUAACCUCAAUAGACCAGAAAAGCAAGAAUUAUUCUUUGAUCGAUUUGAAAAAGCUUCAUUGAGAAUGAGGAUUUCAUGAUCAUUUGUUAUAACAGAAGAAAUGGCCUUGGGUACUUGAAUUAAAAUAAAUAGAAAUACCCAUAGAUAUGGUACUGCUUUGGAUGUGAUCCGGAGAAGGGGAUAGAAUGAGCAAAAUACAAAGAGCUAAUUGCUGGGCUAUGCGGAUGGGUGGAGGGUUGUGGGGUAGCCAGAGAUGGGAUAGAUGCAGACCCCCCAGGAGGGCUUUGAGAGCUGGCAGUGUGAGGGAAAACUCAUAAUGCUACAAGGAAAGGUAGGAAUUAGGUAAAGAUAAUGCAGCAGGCAGAUCAGAAACAGGGCUACACUUAUGAAAAUGGAAAACUGAAGAGGCCACCAGAGAUGUGAUGAAAUGAGGAGCAGCGGGACGUAGCAGAUAGCUCAGGAUGUGUGGGCUCAGAGGCAGGAGUUCAAACCUCACUUCUGCUAUAUCCUAGCUGAGCAUGCUGGCUAGUGCACGCACUUUCACAAGUGCAUGUCCUGUGUGACAGUAAUAGAAGAGGUUUUAUUAUUUUGUGAGGCGUAUACCUCAAGAGAGGUAUGAAACAACUGCUCCAAUAGGAAAUGGUAGAAAGUAGUAAACACAUGACAUUUGUUGAUACCAAACUGUAGUUUGGCUUGAGUGUGAUUUUGUGCCACAUGUUCUCUAUCAAUAUAGAAGAGAAUUCUUUGCUAGGCAUUUUGUCCCUUUGACUGAGGCUCAGCCAGUGGAAGGGGUGGCUUCCAAUAUGAUGGUGGACCUCAAAUCUCAGGGUCUCUGAUGUGCUUGGGUUUCAGUGGUCCCAAAUACAAACUUCUGGCACUCCGCUCAAUUUCAGAGGCAAUGGCAGGAAAGUUUGAUGCAAACAAUCUUAGCAGUUUAAAUCCCUAAUAGUUUUCAAGCCAAUAGUAGUUAAUGAAUGUUACAUUUUUGUCUUUUCACCUAUUUUAAUUGGGGGACCUUCUGUAAAAUGCUAUUUUGGGUUCUAGCACAUUCACUAGUAGGGGUUACUACUCAAAGCCAAACUCAUUCAGCCAACAGCACUAAAAAUACUCUUGGUUUCUGCCAGUCAAUUUUCUUCUAUUUUCACAAUUAGUGGUUCUGCCUGGAAACUGCCUGCCAACAUGCAAAUCUCAUCCAAGGGCUGAUGGAAAUUUGAGAAUGUGCUAAGCUGUGUAAGGUUUAAGCGCAACAUUAUUCAUUCACUAUUUGAAAUAUUUAAACAAAUGUAAAUCAAAAAAGGGGAUGAAAUCUCAUUAUAAGAAAUGAAUGGCUGCUUUCCACUCUUUCUACAAUAGUCUUGAUAUGAUUUACAUACCAUUUGUAAUAUUAAUAUUAUUGUAGUAAAAUAAAUCACAUCCUUCACUUUUACAUUUUUAAUUACAUUUUACUGCAUUUGUUCUUUUGUUUAUAGUUAACUAAUAAAAUAUUUAUUACAUCU